GUUGACCUCGGAUCAGGUAGGGAUACCCGCUGAACUUAAGCAUAUCAAUAAGCGGAGGAAAAGAAACCAACAGGGAUUGCCCCAGUAACGGCGAGUGAAGCGGCAAGAGCUCAAAUUUGAAAGCUGGCCCCCUCGGGGUCCGCAUUGUAAUUUGCAGAGGAUGCUUCGGGAGUGGCCCCCAUCUAAGUGCUCUGGAACGGGCCGUCAUAGAGGGUGAGAAUCCCGUAUGGGAUGGGGUGUCCGCGACCAUGUGAAGCUCCUUCGACGAGUCGAGUUGUUUGGGAAUGCAGCUCUAAAUGGGUGGUAAAUUUCAUCUAAAGCUAAAUAUUGGCCGGAGACCGAUAGCGCACAAGUAGAGUGAUCGAAAGAUGAAAAGCACUUUGAAAAGAGAGUUAAAAAGCACGUGAAAUUGUUGAAAGGGAAGCGCUUGCGACCAGACUCGCCUACGGGGUUCAGCCGGUAUUCGUACCGGUGUACUUCCCCGUGGGCGGGCCAGCGUCGGUUUGGGCGGCCGGUCAAAGGCCCUCGGAAUGUAACGCCUCUCGGGGCGUCUUAUAGCCGAGGGUGCCAUGCGGCCAGCCCGGACCGAGGAACGCGCUUCGGCACGGACGCUGGCAUAAUGGUCGUAAGCGACC
rnacentral:rRNA from 1 species